AUUGCAACAACAAAAUCCUAACUAUAAUAGAAUAUUUAGUUAGUAUUCUAUUAGUUUGAUUAGGGUUUGAUUUAGGAUUUAGUUAGUAUUCUAUUUAGAAUGGAAAUUGCAACAACUAAAUCCUAACUAUAAUACUAAUUAGACCAUAAUAAUGCUAAGCAAGCUUUAAUCAAAUUCAAAAAAACCUCAAAGAAAUUUCAAAGAAACAAUAAGAAAUCUUAAAGAAAUAUUAGAAUAAUCACAAAUAUAUCUCAAAUACAUCUCAAUUCAAUCUUAAUUUAAUCCUAGUUAAAAUCCUAUUGGACUUCAUUCAAACUUUAGGCCAAAUCUAAUUAAAUCUUAAAUCCUAAACAAAUCCUAAUAAAAUCCUAAAUCCUAAAUCAAAUCCUAAAUCCUAAAUCCUAAAUCCUAAAUCAAACCCUAACUAAAUCUUAAAUCUUAAAUCAAAUCCUAAAUCCUAAAUCAAACCCUAACUAAACCUUAAAUCCUAAAUCAAAUCUUAAAUCCUAAACCAAAUCCUAAACCUUAAAUCAAACCCUAAAUUCUAAACCAAAUCCUAACCAAACCCUAAAUCAAACCCUAACCAAACUCUAAAUGAAAUCCUAACCAAAUUCUAAAUCCUAAACCAAAUCCUAACUAAACUCUAAACCUUAAAUCAAAUCCUAAACCCUAAACCAAAUCCUAACCAAACUCUAGUAAUUCUCACAACAGAUUUAAACCUCAAUAACUAAUGAAUGAACCGUUGAUCUUAAUUCAAAUUUUGUAAAAUUCUUAAAAAAUAAGUUGAAAACAAGCACAAAAAAUUUGAAAAGCAUCGGAAUUACCAAAUAGACGAUAACCUCAAAAAUGUACUUAGGUAUUGAUCGGCCUCCUUCUCCAACCUUGAUGUCAAUCUCCCAAAGUCAAUAUCUCUCUUUUUCACCAUUCAAUUGAUCUCAAAAUUCUCAUACACAUAGAAAAACAAGUCUAAUAUCCUCUCACACAAAUUUCACUCCAAUCCAACUAGUAGAAUAUAAGAAAUCUUAAAAACCCUCACUAGAUCUAAAAUUCUACUUUCUAAGACCUUGACCCAUUUAAACCUCAAUAAUCCU
rnacentral:lncRNA from 1 species